UUUGGGGUUGAUUCACCCAUUCAUCCGAGGUUAACCUCUGUUUUGCAAGCUUGGCCGCAGCAUAAGCUGAACUCCUCCUAGCUCAUCUUGAUCACGCCAGAUUAAGGCCUGUGUCCAGAUUUGGUAUUAUUGGAAAAUAAUAUGCCUCUUCAAGUUUUAGCAGCUUAAGCUCAAAGCCCAAACGUAUGCCGCUUUUGAUGUUAAGCGACGUUUCAGCUAAUUAUGCUCCAACCAUUUGGGGUGACCAUUUUCUCUCAUAUGCCGCUUCUAUGGAAGUUGACAUCAAACUUGAGCAACAUAUCCAAGAACUGAAAGAAGAAGUGAAAAGGAUGCUAAUGGCUCCAGUUAACAAGCUUCAGAAAGAUUUGACAUGAUUGAAAACAAGCAGCGUUUACUCGUUUAGGCAUGUCCUACCAUUCUGAAAAUGAGAUCAAUGAAAUAUUGAAACAAAUCUACAACAGUUCUUACGGCAGUGAAGUUCUGGAAAAUGAUGAUUAUCAUUACACUAUCGCUCCCCGUUUUCGAUUGCUUAGACAAUAAGGCUAUAACGUUCUCUGUGGUAAAUUUGUCAUUCUUUCUUUCAUUAAUUUCUAAUAGCACUGUACAAAAUUAUUCUGUUUUCUAUAUAGAUUGUUAUGUACGUAUGUUCAAGGAAAGUCAUGGGACAGUUAAGGAAUUUCUUAUGAGCGAUGUAGUAGGACUAUCAACUUUGUACGAAGCCACUCAUCUUAGGGUUCAUGGAGAAGACGUACUUGAUAUAUGAGGCACUGUACUUCACCAGGACUCUUCUCGAGUCUACAGCACACCGUUUGACCUCCCCGUCAUUGAAACCAGUAACUAAUGACUUAUAUCAGCCACUUUGGAAGAGCUUUCCAAGGAAAGAAGCAAGGCAUAUAUUACUUCGAUCGUACAGAGUUGAUAGCCAUCGCUCGAUCAUAAGAAUUUCCUUAAAUGUCCAUUUAGUUUCCUUGAACUUGUUGAAUAUAUCUACAUGUAUAUUACCAACCAAUAAUGCUUUAGACAGCAAUAUGAUAUAACCAGUUAACAUGCGAACGUACGUACAAAGCAAUCUGUCUAGUAAAUAGAUAAAAGUUAUUUUAUAUAGUGCUAUUAGAAAUUAAUGAAAGAAAGAAUACAAAUUUACCGCACGUACAGGAAAAGUAGUUGUAGCCUAGCUCGUUGUCUUUUUUGAACAAUUGCAGCCCUCGUUGUCUAAGCAAUCGAAGACGGAGAUCAGUAGAGUAAAGGUCAUCAUCACACAGUGAUGAUUCACACUGAAAUUCUGCCGACUCAAUUUCCACCGUGUGCAAAGAAUCCAUCAGAAUGAACUUGUGGUGGAAGGACUUGGACAUUGUAAACAAGCUACUUUUCGUUUAUUCAAAAAAAAAUAAAAAAAAUCUACUUUUCGUAAGAGACAUGAUAAUUAUUUUGCCCUUUGGGAGUCUACCUUGAACUUGAAUAUUCGUUCGCAAUUCAAUUUGAAGUUAAUGCUUACUUCCAUGAAGCCAUAAAUGGUUGAAGGCAAUGCCUUCUUUACGAUGGCAACGACAGCGCGCAAGCUCUCCAUACAAAAGACUCCAUGGAUUGGGUGUUUAAUGACCCCAAUAUUUUAAAGGCUACAUCCAGGGGCGGAUCUAGGUACAGACUGGGGCGGGCUCAAGCCCGUCCGAGAUUUUUGAGCUUCAAAAAAAAAUUAGAUGUAUACUUACAAAGAAUUGUAUAUUGGCAUUGUCAAGCCCACUCGAAAGUACCAAGCUUGAAACUGCCGAACUCUCAGUCAAACUUUUUAGCUCUUAGCCUCUCAUGUUCUCUCAGAGACUCAGACCUUAAUUGGUCCAUCUCUUCUUCUUCUUCUUCUUAA